GGAUGUGAGGGCAACCUGGCGGCGACAUCUGUCACCCUAUUGAGUUCUAGGGUUGAUUCAAUUGAUCUGGCUAGCUAGGUGGGUGCCCCCUUCCUCCCUCAAUGCUCCAUGUGCAUCCCUUCCAAAGCUAUGGGAUUGGUCGAAAAGGAUGACCGCCCCUGAUACAGGAGGAGCAUUUCUCGGUCAAGGGUAUACCAGUAGUUGUGCUCCCCUGCUAGAAGCUUCAAACAAGAUCUCAAGGAACCUUUUGUACAUUGAAAUAUGCUUUAACAUUAAUGUCUUAAAAACAGAAUAACACUUU
rnacentral:snRNA from 1 species